rnacentral:lncRNA from 1 species
UUUAUCUAGAAUCUUUAGAAGUUCAGAAGAAUUUUGGAAGAUAAUCCUAGUUAUUUCUAUGAGCAUAAACUGUGAUAAAAAGGAUUGGCUUCUUAUUCAACUUUCAAGCAUAAAUUUUAGAUGGUAGAGGCGAUCUGGCGGUAGCAUAGACGGAAUGGGUCUUGCACUUCCAUGCAAAUGAUCGGGAUUUGAAACGUGUGGACGUCGAUUAAAUACGGGACCGAAUGCCCAAUGCCCUGCUUGGGUGUGCGCAGAGCAGUUUCUGAUCCACCUGGAUGCCCCUCUUGCCCCUGUGGUGGGGAGCUGCCCCCUUCUGAUGCAUCGAACAUUCCUGAUGGAGGAGUCCCUUAUGGUAACGCCCAAUUACCCAAAGGCCAUGUUGGCAACUCCUUACAAAACUUGCUUAAAUCUUCCACAUUGCC